AGUGAACGCUGGCGGUAGGCCUAACACAUGCAAGUCGAACGGCAGCACAGGAGAGCUUGCUCUCUGGGUGGCGAGUGGCGGACGGGUGAGGAAUACAUCGGAAUCUACUUUUUCGUGGGGGAUAACGUAGGGAAACUUACGCUAAUACCGCAUACGACCUACGGGUGAAAGCAGGGGAUCUUCGGACCUUGCGCGAUUGAAUGAGCCGAUGUCGGAUUAGCUAGUUGGCGGGGUAAAGGCCCACCAAGGCGACGAUCCGUAGCUGGUCUGAGAGGAGGAGCAGCCACACUGGAACUGAGACACGGUCCAGACUCCUACGGGAGGCAGCAGUGGGGAAUAUUGGACAAUGGGCGCAAGCCUGAUUCAGCCAUACCGCGUGGGUGAAGAAGGCCUUCGGGUUGUAAAGCCCUUUUGUUGGGAAAGAAAUCCAGCUGGUUAAUACCCGGUUGGGAUGACGGUACCCAAAGAAUAAGCACCGGCUAACUUCGUGCCAGCCGCCGCAGUAA
rnacentral:rRNA from 1 species